GACGAACGCUGGCGGCGUGCUUAACACAUGCAAGUCGAACGGAAAGGCCCUGCUUUUGUGGGUUGCUCGGGUGGCGAACGGGUGAGUAACACGUGAGUAACCUGCCCUUGACUUUGGGAUAACUUCAGGAAACUGGGGCUAAUACCGGAUAGGAGCUCCUGCUGCAUGGUGGGGGUUGGAAAGUUUCGGCGGUUGGGGAUGGACUCGCGGCUUAUCAGCUUGUUGGUGGGGUAGUGGCUUACCAAGGCUUUGACGGGUAGCCGGCCUGAGAGGGUGACCGGCCACAUUGGGACUGAGAUACGGCCCAGACUCCUACGGGAGGCAGCAGUGGGGAAUAUUGCACAAUGGGCGGAAGCCUGAUGCAGCAACGCCGCGUGCGGGAUGACGGCCUUCGGGUUGUAAACCGCUUUCGCCUGUGACGAAGCGUGAGUGACGGUAAUGGGUAAAGAAGCACCGGCUAACUACGUG
rnacentral:rRNA from 1 species